rnacentral:rRNA from 1 species
CCUACGGGAGGCUGCAGUAGGGAAUAUUGCUCAAUGGGGGAAACCCUGAAGCAGCAACGCCGCGUGGAGGAUGAAGGUUUUCGGAUUGUAAACUUCUUUUGUUAUAGAAGAUAAUGACGGUAUCUAACGAAUAAGCACCGGCUCAAUCCGUGCCAGCAGCCGCGGUAAUACGGUGGGUGCCAGCGUUACUCGGAAUCACUGGGCGUAAAGAGCGAGUAGGCGGGAUAGCAAGUCAGAUGUGAAAUCCUCGGGCUUAACCCUAGAACUGCAUUUGAAACUGUUAUUCUAGAGUAUGGGAGAGGUAGGUGGAAUUCUUGGUGUAGUGGUGAAAUCCGUAGAGAUCUAGAGGAAUACUCAUUGCGAAGGCGACCUGCUAGAACAUAACUGACGCUGAGGCGCGAAAGCGUGGGGAGCAAACAGGAUUAGAUACCCCAGUAGUC